GGCCCAUUAGCUCAGUUGGUUAGACGUUAGAGCGUCGUGCUAAUAACGCGAAGGUCGUGGGUUCGAUCCCCCCAUGAGCCA